rnacentral:rRNA from 1 species
GGGAACGCUGGCGGUAGGUCCUAACACAUGCAAGUCGAACGGCAGCACAGGAGAGCUUGCUCUCUGGGUGGCGAGUGGCGGACGGGUGAGGAAUACUAAUCGGGAAUCUACUCUGAUCGUGGGGGAUAACGUAGGGAAACUUACGCUAAUACCGCAUACGACCUACCGGAUGCAAAGCAGGGGACCUUCGGACCUUGCAGCGAUUGAAUGAGCCGAUGAUCGGGAUUAGCUAGUUAGACGGGGUAAAGGGCCUCACCUAAGGCGACGAUCCGUAGCUGGUCUGAGAGGAUGAUCAGCCACACUGGAACUGAGACACGGUCCAGACUCCUACGGGAGGCAGCAGUGGGGAAUAUUGGACAAUGGGCGCAAGCCUGAUCCAGCCAUACCGCGUGGAGUGAAGAAGGCCUUCGGGUUGUAAAGCCCUUUUGUUGGGGAAUAGAAAUCCGAGCUGGGCUAAUAACCCUGGUUGGGAUUGACGGUACCCGGAGAAUUAAGCACCGGCUAACUUCGUGCCAGCAGCCGCGGUAAUACGAAGGGUGCAAGCGUUACUCGGAAUUACUGGGCGUAAAGCGUGCGUAGGUGGUCGUUUAAGUCCGUUGUGAAAGCCCCUGGGCUCAACCUGGGGAACUGCAGUGGAUACUGGACGAACUAGAGUGUGGGUAGAGGGUAGCGGAAUUCCUGGUGUUAGCAGUGAAAUGCGUAGAGAUCAGGAGGAACAUCCCAUGGCGGAAGCAGCGUACCUGGGACCAACACUGACACUGAGGCCAAACGGUGGG